UACGUAGGGGGCUAGCGUUGUCCGGAUUUAUUGGGCGUAAAGAGCGUGUAGGCGGCCAGGUAGGUCUGGUGUGAAAACUCGAGGCUUAACCUCGAGAUGUCAUCGGAAACCAUCUGGCUAGAGUCCGGAAGAGGAGAGUGGAAUUCCUGGUGUAGCGGUGAAAUGCGCAGAUAUCAGGAAGAACACCAAUGGCGAAAGCAGCUCGCUGGGACGUUACUGACGCUGAGACGCGAAAGCGUGGGGAGCAAACAGG
rnacentral:rRNA from 1 species